GAUCAUGGCUCGGAGUGAACGCUGGCGGCGUGCCUAAUACAUGCAAGUCGAACGGAGAUUAAGUAGCUUGCUAUUUAAUCUUAGUGGCGCACGGGUGAGUAAUAUAUAGCUAACUUGCCCAUUACUAAGGGACAACAGUUGGAAACGACUGCUAAUACCUUAUACUCCGUAUCUAUAUAAGUAGAUACGGGAAAGUUUUUCGGUAAUGGAUAGGGCUAUAUCGUAUCAGCUAGUUGGUAAGGUAAUGG
rnacentral:rRNA from 1 species